rnacentral:rRNA from 1 species
GACGAACGCUGGCGGCAUGCCUAAUACAUGCAAGUCGAGCGAACAGAUGAAGUGCUUGCACUUCUGACGUUAGCGGCGAACGGGUGAGUAACACGUAAGGAAUCUACCUAUAAGCGGGGGAUAACAUUCGGAAACGGGUGCUAAUACCGCAUAAUAUCUUCUUCCGCAUGGAAGAAGAUUGAAAGACGGCUCUGCUGUCACUUAUAGAUGACCUUGCGGUGCAUUAGUUAGUUGGUGGGGUAAUGGCCUACCAAGACGAUGAUGCAUAGCCGACCUGAGAGGAUGAUCGGCCACAUUGGGACUGAGACACGGCCCAAACUCCUACGGGAGGCAGCAGUAGGGAAUCUUCCGCAGUGGGCGAAAGCCUGACGGAGCAAUGCCGCGUGAGUGAAGAAGGCCUUCGGGUCGUAAAACUCUGUCAUAAGAGAAGAACAAAUUGUAGAGUAACUGCUACAGUCUUGACGGUAUCUUAUCAGAAAGCCACGGCUAACUACGUGCCAGCCGCCGCAGUAA